GGUUAAGCGACUAAGCGUACACGGUGGAUGCCCUGGCAGUCAGAGGCGAUGAAGGACGUGCUAAUCUGCGAAAAGCGUCGGUAAGGUGAUAUGAACCGUUACAGCCGGCGAUGUCCGAAUGGGGAAACCCAGUGUGAUUCGUCACACUAUCGUUAACUGAAUACAUAGGUUAACGAGGCGAACCGGGGGAACUGAAACAUCUAAGUACCCCGAGGAAAAGAAAUCAACCGAGAUUCCCCCAGUAGCGGCGAGCGAACGGGGAGCAGCCCAGAGUCUGAAUCAGCUUGUGUGUUAGUGGAACGGUCUGGAAAGUCCGACGGUACAGGGUGAUAGUCCCGUACACCAAAAUGCACAGGUUGUGAACUCGAAGAGUAGGGCGGGACACGUGGUAUCCUGUCUGAAUAUGGGGGGACCAUCCUCCAAGGCUAAAUACUCCUGACUGACCGAUAGUGAACCAGUACCGUGAGGGAAAGGCGAAAAGAACCCCGGCGAGGGGAGUGAAAAAGAACCUGAAACCGUGUACGUACAAGCAGUGGGAGCACCUUCGGGUGUGACUGCGUACCUUUUGUAUAAUGGGUCAGCGACUUAUAUUCUGUAGCAAGGUUAACCGUAUAGGGGAGCCGCAGGGAAACCGAGUCUUAACUGGGCGUUAAGUUGCAGGGUAUAGACCCGAAACCCGGUGAUCUAGCCAUGGGCAGGUUGAAGGUUGGGUAACACUAACUGGAGGACCGAACCGACUAAUGUUGAAAAAUUAGCGGAUGACUUGUGGCUGGGGGUGAAAGGCCAAUCAAACCGGGAGAUAGCUGGUUCUCCCCGAAAGCUAUUUAGGUAGCGCCUCGUGAAUUCAUCUUCGGGGGUAGAGCACUGUUUCGGCUAGGGGGUCAUCCCGACUUACCAACCCGAUGCAAACUACGAAUACCGAAGAAUGUUAUCACGGGAGACACACGGCGGGUGCUAACGUCCGUCGUGAAGAGGGAAACAACCCAGACCGCCAGCUAAGGUCCCAAAGUCACAGUUAAGUGGGAAACGAUGUGGGAAGGCACAGACAGCCAGGAUGUUGGCUUAGAAGCAGCCAUCAUUUAAAGAAAGCGUAAUAGCUCACUGGUCGAGUCGGCCUGCGCGGAAGAUGUAACGGGGCUAAACUGUGCACCGAAGCUGCGGCAGCGACACNNNNGUGUUGUUGGGUAGGGGAGCGUUCUGUAAGCCUGCGAAGGUGGCCUGUGAGGGUUGCUGGAGGUAUCAGAAGUGCGAAUGCUGACAUAAGUAACGAUAAUGCGGGUGAAAAGCCCGCACGCCGGAAGACCAAGGGUUCCUGUCCAACGUUAAUCGGGGCAGGGUGAGUCGACCCCUAAGGCGAGGCCGAAAGGCGUAGUCGAUGGGAAACAGGUUAAUAUUCCUGUACUUGGUGUUACUGCGAAGGGGGGACGGAGAAGGCUAUGUUAGCCGGGCGACGGUUGUCCCGGUUUAAGCAUGUAGGCGGAGGUUCCAGGUAAAUCCGGUACCUUUUAACGCUGAGGUGUGAUGACGAGGCACUACGGUGCUGAAGUAACAAAUGCCCUGCUUCCAGGAAAAGCCUCUAAGCAUCAGGUAACAUUGAAUCGUACCCCAAACCGACACAGGUGGUCAGGUAGAGAAUACCAAGGCGCUUGAGAGAACUCGGGUGAAGGAACUAGGCAAAAUGGUGCCGUAACUUCGGGAGAAGGCACGCUGAUAUGUAGGUGAAGCCCCUGCGGGUGGAGCUGAAAUCAGUCGAAGAUACCAGCUGGCUGCAACUGUUUAUUAAAAACACAGCACUGUGCAAACACGAAAGUGGACGUAUACGGUGUGACGCCUGCCCGGUGCCGGAAGGUUAAUUGAUGGGGUUAUCCGUAAGGAGAAGCUCUUGAUCGAAGCCCCGGUAAACGGCGGCCGUAACUAUAACGGUCCUAAGGUAGCGAAAUUCCUUGUCGGGUAAGUUCCGACCUGCACGAAUGGCGUAAUGAUGGCCAGGCUGUCUCCACCCGAGACUCAGUGAAAUUGAACUCGCUGUGAAGAUGCAGUGUACCCGCGGCAAGACGGAAAGACCCCGUGAACCUUUACUAUAGCUUGACACUGAACAUUGAGCCUUGAUGUGUAGGAUAGGUGGGAGGCUUUGAAGCGUGGACGCCAGUCUGCGUGGAGCCAACCUUGAAAUACCACCCUUUAAUGUUUGAUGUUCUAACGUUGGCCCCUGACCGGGGUUGCGGACAGUGUCUGGUGGGUAGUUUGACUGGGGCGGUCUCCUCCCAAAGAGUAACGGAGGAGCACGAAGGUUAGCUAAUCCUGGUCGGACAUCAGGAGGUUAGUGCAAUGGCAUAAGCUAGCUUGACUGCGAGCGUGACGGCGCGAGCAGGUGCGAAAGCAGGUCAUAGUGAUCCGGUGGUUCUGAAUGGAAGGGCCAUCGCUCAACGGAUAAAAGGUACUCCGGGGAUAACAGGCUGAUACCGCCCAAGAGUUCAUAUCGACGGCGGUGUUUGGCACCUCGAUGUCGGCUCAUCACAUCCUGGGGCUGAAGUAGGUCCCAAGGGUAUGGCUGUUCGCCAUUUAAAGUGGUACGCGAGCUGGGUUUAGAACGUCGUGAGACAGUUCGGUCCCUAUCUGCCGUGGGCGCUGGAGAAUUGAGGGGGGCUGCUCCUAGUACGAGAGGACCGGAGUGGACGCAUCACUGGUGUUCGGGUUGUCAUGCCAAUGGCAUUGCCCGGUAGCUAAAUGCGGAAGAGAUAAGUGCUGAAAGCAUCUAAGCACGAAACUUGCCCCGAGAUGAGUUCUCCCUGAGACUUUAAGUCUCCUGAAGGAACGUUAAAGACGAUGACGUUGAUAGGUCGGGUGUGUAAGCGUAGCGAUACGUUGAGCUAACCGAUACUAAUGAACCGUGAGGCUUAACCUU
rnacentral:rRNA from 1 species